rnacentral:lncRNA from 1 species
GGGAGCAGUCAGGUAUAAGGGCGCGCCAGGGCGCCAGGCCUCCCUUCACCAGGAGAACAUGCGGCUCCACUUCUGGCUCCUGCUGGCUGUGGUCUUGGGCCUGGAGCUGGGUGAGUCCGGGGGUCGGCCCACCCCCACCCCUCCUCCCCUCCCACGCCUCCCUCCUGUCUGGCCGCCACUAGCCCUGGACAGAGUACCCCUGGGGAGCCCCUUACCUGGCCCCCUUUCCUCGCCACUCCAUCCCUUCCCUAGCACACUUUGUGGGGCCACCAGCGGCACUCACAGCUUUCCUCCUGAAACCCACCCUCCGGGCCCACGAGCUGCUCCCCCGUGCGCGCCCUCCCUCUGGCCCUUGACUCCUCGGGCACUGCCUCUGCCUGAAGCCCCCUCUGCCCCCACCCACCCCAAGCCCCUCAGUUCCACGGUGACCCCUCACGCACACAUUAGCAGGUGCACGGCCACUCAGCACAAGGGUGCUCCGGCUCUCCGGCCUCGGCCCAGCUGGCCUGUCUCCUGAGGCCACCCUGUCCCGAUGCCCGCCCCCUCUGUCCUCGUGUCAUCUCCUUCUGGCUCUGCCUUCCCUCUGACGAUGCCCACGUCCCCUCCACUGGAUCUUCCUGCCCAGCCUUGAGCAGCUGGCCCACUGCCUACCUGAGGGUCCCCUGCCUGAGGGACACCACUCAGACACCCAGCGGGGCCUGGCCUCUCCGUCUAGCAGCUGGACAAAACCAGCCAACCCGUGACCCACCAGCUCCUUCACCUCCAAACCACACCAGCCCCAGUUCCUGCGGCCCCACCCGGCAAAGCCUCGGUGUCCCCAUCUGUGGGUGGGCAUGCCCUGGGGCCACAGAGCCCCCUGAGAUGGCACCCAUUCAGACGUCCCCAUCCCCAGAGACACCCUUCUUGGCCUGGCCCCACAGGGACCUUCUGUCCCGGGAGAGGCCACACCGCUGAUCCUGAGGGUCUGACCGGGUCAUCAGGGCAGACCCACAGGCCUCCUGGGAUCGAGCUCAGAGUGAGGGGAAGCCUCUGCCAUUGUCAGGCGGGGCUCCAAGGGGCAGCUGCACUGUCCAGGGUUCGUACCCCAGAGCAUCCCGACUGGAGGGCGCCCUGGGCCCUCCCUGCCCCUGCCCCAGAGGAACAGACCCCAAGCUGGUCACAGACGAAGAGUCGGUGCCCGUGUCCUCUGUGUGGCUGGGUGCCUGCUCUGUCACACAUGGGCAGAGCCAUCUCUCCAGAGCUCACGGUGGCCCAGGAGGGGCGGGCUGGCCCCCGCCUGCUUCAGAUGGGCAGACCAGGCCGGAGGGAGGCGUCGGGCUGUAGCGGAGAGUGGCGCUGAACGCCCACAGGCCUUCUGCCCCCAGAGCCCACCCCUCGGCUGUCCUCCCUCCUCUCCAGACCCCCUGCUCAGGCGCCAGGCACUGCUCUGGCUCUGUCCCUGUGACCCCACACUCCAUCCUGCAGGCAGUGUCCCACUGGGCACUAACACUUGUGCUGAAGACAAACCCCCAUAAGGGACAUGACCGUUCUUUUCUUGAUGACCCAGCCUCCACCCAGAGUCAUCCCGCAGGCCUCUCUUGGCCUCACUGGGUGUGGAGGAGGGUUGCUUGUGGUGGAUGCUUUGGGGGACACUGAGGAGCAGGAAGAGAGCCCCACCUCCAGGGCCUCGUGUCUGGUGGGGGUGGGGAAGGAGUCCUGAACACGAGGCCAUCAGUGUAGCCCUCAGCUGGGGGCUGGUGUGCCAAAGGAGGCACCAAUACUCCUGUGUGGAAAUCCAGGUGGCCUUCCUGGAGGAGCUGGUCUUGUCUAGACCUGAACCUUUGACACUUGACAGGUAUCUGCAGCAGUAGAGGUCAGAGGGGAGGGGCCUGGGACACUGCCAUUAGGGUGGAUGGGGCCGCCUGCACACUCGGCCCACUGCCUAUCUGAGGGUCCUGUGCCUGAGGGACACCACUCAGACACCCAGCAGUGCCUGGCCUCACCGUCGAGCAGCGGAGCCCAAGCUCUCUGGGUAGCUUCAGCAGCUUGGGCAGGUGAGGUGCCUGGGCUUCUUGCUCCUGGACGGGGUCUCGGCUUGCUCCGCCGUCCUGGUAGACCACUGAGCUGCCGAGGGGCCCUCUCCCUGUUGGGAUGUCCUACUGCCACUGCUUCAAUGUGCACAGGCCGAGGGCUCCACCAAGGCCCAGGGCUGAGCAGAGACCCCCGCACACUAGCCCUGGGGGCGCUGGGCUGCUGUCCUCAGGACUGGGGGAGGGCGCCUGGCCAGGUGGGCAUCAGGAGGGCUGUGUGGGGCCCAGGCUUCGACUCGGCUCCCUGGAGCACAGCAGGAGGGAGCCAGCUCGGGACCAGGAGGGGCCGUGUGCGCCAGCAUGGCGUGGGGGCUGGCCCUCUGCAGGCGCCCGAGCACCAGGACACUCUGCUUUCCUUGGGAGAAGGGAGGAGGGAGACAGGGAGUUGGGGAUUAAGAAGCAGAUGCAGGGCCUGGGGCAGGGGCAGAGGGCAGGAGUGGAGAGCAGGGGCAUCGGGAGGUGGCAGCCAGGGGCAGGGCAGCCGGGACAAGGACCCCCAUCCGCAGGAACAGGCAAACAGAGCUUAGUCCGCCCUGCAUUCCUUCAGUCACCUGGCCCCAUCAUCUCAGCCACCAGAUCGGAGCCCCCAGCUCUAAAGGGUCUGCCUGGGUCUCCAGAGGCGCAGGUGGGCAUGGCCAGAGAGCACAGCCAGACGCCCACCAGCCCACCCUGCCACUCAGCCUCCCCCCAAAAGCCCACCCUCCCCACUCCCCCAAAGCGCCACUCCUGCUUGGUAUCCUGGCAGAGGGAGGCAGGCCAGCUGGCUCUGACGUGGUCACCUGCACCCUGUGACGAGCAGCUUCACAAUGGUGGGCUGAAUACCCACCUCUCACCCAGCCCUCAGUCGAGACCUGGAACAGGGUGCCCCAAGGUCCAUGGGGACUGGCACCCCAGGAUGGGACCGGGGGACUGGCCUGAGGGUAGGAGAAUGGGUGUGGCCCUACAGGAGGCACCCACCUGUGCCCCGUCUGUCUGUCUGUCUGCAGCUACAGCCCAGGGCCUGCGGUGCCACCUGUGCAAGGGCUUCGGAGGUUGCUCCCACGUGUCCAACUGCCCGCGGGGCUCCACCCAUUGUGUGAUCAUCGCCACCCGUGAGUGGGCGGGGUGGCAGGCUACACCUUUCUUGCCCAGGUUUGGAGAUCCAGGCUCAGAGGGGGAAGAGCCAGACCCAGGUGCCCAGCAGGUCAGAUGUAGAGUGGGGAACAUCUGUCAGACUCUGCCCUGGACAGGGUCCAGACCGGGGCUUGAACAUGUCCGCUGUGGCCCAUAUUUCUGAUGAAUCUGGAUGUGACCCUGAGCUCAGGGGCAGGUGGGACAAGGGGAUUCGGGCUGCUCAGAGCCUCAGGGACCCCCUCCUGCCUCCCCAGGGUCCCCCAUCAGCUUCCAGGACCUGCCUCUUGUCACCAAGAUGUGCUACAACGGCUGCCCUGAUGUCCCCAGCCUGGGCCUGGGACCCCAUGUAUCCAUUGCCUGCUGCCAGUCCAGCCUCUGUAACCAUGACUGACCACUCUCCUCCAUCAUGUCCAGCCUGACAGACCAUGUUCCCUACCCUGGCGUAGCCCCUGAAGACCCUCUCAGACUGGCCAGCCCACACCUCCCCAAACUCACUCUUCCUGGGGAAGUCCUGCGUGAAGUCUUGCCUCCAUCCGCUGCAGUGCACGCCUAAGCACCCCUCCCUGUAUUUCAUCUCCCCCACCACCACAGUCCCCACAAACCCCCAAUAAACUGUGGCCACCACUCA